rnacentral:rRNA from 1 species
AUUGAACGCUGGCGGAAUGCUUUACACAUGCAAGUCGAACGGCAGCACGGACUUCGGUCUGGUGGCGAGUGGCGAACGGGUGAGUAAUGUAUCGGAACGUGCCCAGUCGCGGGGGAUAACGUAGUGAAAAUUACGCUAAUACCGCAUACGAUCUAUGGAUGAAAGCGGGGGAUCGCAAGACCUCGCGCGAUUGGAGCGGCCGAUAUCAGAUUAGGUAGGUGGUGGGGCAAAGGCCCACCAAGCCAACGAUCUGUAGCUGGUCUGAGAGGACGACCAGCCACACGGGAAUCGAGACACGCGCCAGACUCCUACGGGAGGGAGCAGUGGGGAAUGUUGGACAAUGGGCGAAAGGCUGAUCCCGCCAUUCCGCGUGCAGGAUGAAGGCUCUCGUGUUGUAAACUGCUUUUGUACAGAACGAAAAGGUUUCUACUAAUACUACGAGCUCAUGCCGGUACUGUAAGAAUAAGCACCGGCUAACUACGUGCCAGAAGCCGCCGUAA